rnacentral:rRNA from 1 species
GUGUCAGCAGCCGCGGUAAUACGUAGGGGGCAAGCGUUACUCGGAUUCACUGGGCGUAAAGCGCGUGUAGGCGGCUGGUCAAGCGUGAUGUGAAAUCUCCGGGCUCAACCCGGAAACUGCAUCUCGAACCGGCCUGGCUAGAGUGCAGGAGAGGGAAGCGGAAUUCCAGGUGUAGCGGUGAAAUGCGUAGAUAUCUGGAGGAACACCGGUGGCGAAGGCGACAUCCUGGACCGGUAUUGACGCUGAGUGAGCGAAAGCCAGGGGAGCAAACGGGAUUAGAAACCCUAGUAGUCC